rnacentral:lncRNA from 1 species
CACCGCUCGUGACUGGCCGUGGCAAAACUCCGCUACACACAAAUAGGUACCUAGGCAAAGAAGCCACUAACCGCUGAUCACUGAUAAUCAGCUACGAAUUUAUGUUGUGAUGUGGGACGUUUGAACAAAUAACUCAUGACCUCGGCUGAAGAAUAAAGGAGUAAGGUGCUUCUGCCUGUUCUCUGUUUUUUCAGAACUCACAAACCACCCCAGAGAUGAAGAGCUGAGGAUACUGUAGAGCUAUAUGAAAGGUGAGAGCACCUGUUUCGUUAAGGUUAUCUGAUCAAGGACACAUGUAAAAUGGAAAAGAGAUAAUAAGCAAAGGCAGAAACAAAAACCUGGAAGGCAAGGUAUAACAGGUGAGUUGAGGACCUAGGGGCCAGGAUCUGGGAAGGAGCACUGUGCAGACAAAGGGGCUGGGCCAACA